UACGAAGGGGGCUAGCGUUGCUCGGAAUCACUGGGCGUAAAGCGCACGUAGGCGGAUUGCUAAGUCAGGGGUGAAAUCCUGGAGCUCAACUCCAGAACUGCCUUUGAUACUGGCGAUCUUGAGUCCGGGAGAGGUGAGUGGAACUGCGAGUGUAGAGGUGAAAUUCGUAGAUAUUCGCAAGAACACCAGAGGCGAAGGCGGCUCACUGGCCCGGUACUGACGCUGAGGUGCGAAAGCGUGGGGAGCAAACAGG
rnacentral:rRNA from 1 species